GCUACUCUACGACUUCUCCCCAUCCCAGCCGUCUAUGUGCUGCGCCUUAUGUUCCACAGCUAGAAAUGGCUGCCCUACCUUCUGGGCAGCAGUGCGGAGCUCGGCCAGGGCAGUGCCUAGGUUCUUUGCACACUGACUCAGCUGCAUCGCUGAAGCCUGGUCCUGAAUUGUUGGCACUGAGGCCUUUGCUGCUGCCACCAUCUUCCCACCUGGCUGUUGGAGAACACAUAUGCAAAUGAGUCCCAGCUGGAACCACUUGGCUUCUUCUCUACCGCAUACUCACAGCAUCCUGGCCCAGAGGGGGCAGAGCAUCAAAGUCAUCAAGAGCAGCUUGGGCGGCCUGCACAGCCUGCAUGCUGGAGUUAAUGGUUCCAGUGAGCGCCUGCUGGGCUGAAGUCUAAAAGACAGAGAAGAGGAAGAGACAGAAUGGGGCA
rnacentral:lncRNA from 1 species